CCUACGGGUGGCAGCAGUGAGGAAUAUUGGUCAAUGGCCGGAAGGCUGAACCAGCCAAGUCGCGUGAGUGAAUAAGGCCCUAUGGGUCGUAAACCUCUUUUGUCAGGGAGCAAAGGCGUCCAUGAGUGGACGAAAGGAGAGUACCUGACGAAAAAGCAUCCGCUAACUCCGUGCCAGCAGCCGCGGUAAUACGGAGGAUGCGAGCGGUAUCCGGUUUCAUGGGGUUUAAAGGGUGGGUAGGCGGUGUGUUAAGUCAGCGGUAAAAUUUCGGGGCUAAACCCCGUUGUGCCGUUGAAACUGUCACGCUUGAGUGAGUGAGAGGUAAGCGGAAUGCGUGGUGUAGCGGUGAAAUGCAUAGAUAUCACGAGGAAGGCCGAUUGCGAAGGCAGCUUACCGGCGCUCAACUGACGCUGAGGCACGAAAGUGCGGGGAUCAAACAGGAUUAGAUACCCGGGUAGUC
rnacentral:rRNA from 1 species